rnacentral:tRNA from 1 species
GGGCUGGUAGGAGUAACGGUAACUCCAUCUGCUUUGACAUCAGAAGUUACGGGUUCGACUCCCGUCCAGUCCA